rnacentral:rRNA from 1 species
AUUGAACGCUGGCGGCAGGCCUAACACAUGCAAGUCGAACGAGUGGCGGACGGGUGAGUAAUGUCUCGGACUCUGCCUGAUGGAGGGGGAUAACUACUGGACACGGUAGCUACUACCGCAUACCAUCAGCUGUUCCCAGAUGGGUUUAGCUUGUUGGUGGGGUAACGGGUAACCAAGGGGACGAUCCCUAGCUGGUCGGAGAGGAUGACAAGCAACACUGGAACUGAGCCACGGUCCAGACCCAGACGGGAGGCAGCAGGGGGGAAGAUUGGACAAUGGGCGAAAGCGUGAGUCAGCCAGGCCGAGUGUAUGAAGAAGGCCGUCGGGUUGUAAAGUACUUUCAGCGGGGAGGCGUUACCAGCAGAAGAAGCACCGGCUAACUCCGUGCCAGCAGCCGCGGUAAUAC